GUCGAACGAUGACCCCCAGCUUGCUGGGGUGAUUAGUGGCGAACGGGUGAGUAACACGUGAGUAACCUGCCCCUGACUCUGGGAUAAGCCCGGGAAACUGGGUCUAAUACUGGAUAUGCACCGUAAGCCGCAUGGCUUUUGGUGGAAAGAUUUUUUGGUCAGGGAUGGACUCGCGGCCUAUCAGCUUGUUGGUGAGGUAAUGGCUCACCAAGGCGACGACGGGUAGCCGGCCUGAGAGGGUGACCGGCCACACUGGGACUGAGACACGGCCCAGACUCCUACGGGAGGCAGCAGUGGGGAAUAUUGCACAAUGGGCGAAAGCCUGAUGCAGCGACGCCGCGUGAGGGAUGACGGCCUUCGGGUUGUAAACCUCUUUCAGUAGGGAAGAAGCGAAAGUGACGGUACCUGCAGAAGAAGCGCCGGCUAACUACGUGCCAGCAGCCGCGGUAAUACGUAGGGCGCAAGCGUUAUCCGGAAUUAUUGGGCGUAAAGAGCUCGUAGGCGGUUUG
rnacentral:rRNA from 1 species